rnacentral:rRNA from 1 species
GACAGAGGUGCCGAGCGUUAGGCGGAAUCACUGGGCUUAAAGCGUGUGUAGGCGGGUCGUUAAGUGUCUUGUGAAAUCCCCCGGCUCAACCGGGGAAUGGCUGGGCAUACUGGCGAUCUUGAGCAGUCUAGGGGCAGAUGGAACAAGUGGUGGAGCGGUGAAAUGCGUAGAUAUCACUUGGAACGCCAAAGGUGAAAACAGUCUGCUGGGGACUUGCUGACGCUGAGACACGAAAGCCAGGGGAGCGAACGG